UCCAGCCAAUCCUGGCUAAGAAACGGCUGGUCUGUGGCUCGACAAGGAUCCCCAGGUGUUUCCAGAGGCUGGAGCCAGGAGCUGAUGGUUCUUUCACACUGUGUAAUGUCUUCUCUGGAAAGGCCUCCUCAUCCAUCGUGCAAAGAACCCGCCCUAGAGCCACCCCAGGAACUAUAGAAAUAGAAUCCUUUGCUAGAACAAUGAUGCCCUACGAGAAGAAAGAAACAGGGACCCUGGAAGCAUGGGUCGGACUUACGGGCGUUACAGAAAGUUCCAUCUCAGAGAAAUACACGGACCUGCCAGCUCAAAGACGUUUUAGAGGUCCAGAGGAAGAAUUGUGGAAUUUGGGGAGUUUCUUUUUUCAGAAUAAAAGGGCAAGUUGCUA
rnacentral:lncRNA from 1 species